GGUCGAGGACCCAGGAAGAGGGCCCGGGUAUGACGAGAGGUCUCCCAGAAAAGCAGGCUCGAGGGUGACCUAGAGAGGACCCGGGCUCGCCCGGGAGGACCUCACACCAGGGCCGUCCUUGAUGCUCGCACACUAGGGAGGAUGCUGGACUUGAAUACGGGAUGACACAGGGAGGACCCCGACCCCACGCCCAGGACUGACCGAGCGGGAGGAUCCUGGCGCUGACCUGAUCAAAGGAGUGAGCAGCUUUGCAAGCCUGGCAUCCGUUAGACAUCGCUGGUCCGGGUUGUGACUCGGGCUCCCUUAGACCACUUUUAUCUGUCAUGGAAAAGCGCGAGACCUUCGUCCAAGCGGUUUCUAAGGAACUGGUUGAAGAGUUUCUGCAGUUUGUUCAACUUGACAACGAUUCUUCGGAUCCUUUCAACUUAGGCGAGUUACUAGAUGAGUUAUCCAGGAAACAGAAAGAAGAGUUGUGGCAAAGGCUGAAGGAUUUACUAACGGAGACAUUGUUAGAAAGCCCUGUGGAUGGGUGGCACACAGUGGAAGGCCAGGGUGAAGAUAGGAUGGAAUCAGAGCCCAGUCCAAAGAUGAAAAAGAGCAUAGAAAUAACACACGCAAUUACGUCUGUGAUUCUUGCUUCCAUAUCUGUAAUAAAUGAACAUGAGAACUAUGGGCCCCUCCUGGAGUGUGCCGUCAUACUAAAUGAAGUUACCUGUCUUCACAAGCAGUGUGGCAGCCUGAAACAAAACUUUAAAGGUAUUUUAUAUGCACUGCCCGAAUCUGAACAAAAGCUCCAGAACUCUAUUCAGGAUCUGUGUGUCAAAUGGUGGGAAAAGGGCCUGCCCGCCAAGGAGGACAUGGGGAAGACGGCAUUUGUCAUGCUGCUGCGGAGAAGUCUGGAGACCAAAACCGGCGCAGAUAUGUCUCGGUUGUGGCGCAUCCACCAGGCCUUGUACUGCUUUGCUUAUGACUUGGAGGAAAACAGAGACAUUAAAGACAUGCUACUCGAGUGCUUCAUAAAUGUUAAUUACAUCAAGAAGGAAGAGGGAAGAAGAUUUCUUAGUUUUCUCUUCAGUUGGAAUGUAGACUUUAUUAAAAUGAUCCAUGAGACCAUUAAAAAUCAGUUGUCUGGAUUGCAGAAGUCUUUGAUGGUUCACAUUGCAGAAAUUUAUUUCAGAGCUUGGAAGAAGGCUUCAGGGAAAACAUUAGAGGCCAUCGAAUAUGCCUGCAUCCAGGACUUAAUGUUCCAUGGCAUCCACCUUCCAAGGAGGUCUCCCGUGCACUCCAAAGUACGAGAGGUGCUGAGUUACUUUCACGGACAGAAAGUCCGUCAGGGAGUGGAAGAGAUGCUGUAUAGGUUGUACAAGCCCAUUCUGUGGAGAGGACUGAAGGCCAGAAACUCUGAAGUUCGAUCCAACGCUGCAUUGUUGUUUGUUGAAGCAUUCCCUGUUAGAGACCCAAACUUCAUUGCCACUGAGAUGGACAGUGAAAUCCAGAAGCAGUUUGAAGAACUAUACAGCCUUUUAGAAGACCCUUACCCGAGGGUCCGUUCCACAGGCGUCCUUGGCGUCUGUAAAAUAACGUGUAAAUACUGGGAAAUGAUGCCCCCUACCAUUAUCGUCGAUCUCCUGAAGAAAGUCACUGGGGAGCUGGCGUUUGAUAUCAGCUCCGCUGAUGUUCGCUGUUCUGUUUUUAAGUGUUUGCCAAUUAUUCUGGAUAACAAACUGAGCCACCCAUUGUUAGAACAGCUUUUGCCACCACUCAGGUAUAGUCUCCACGAUAAUUCAGAGAAAGUGAGGGUGGCUUUUGUGGAGUUGUUGCUGAAAAUCAAAGCUGUGAGAGCUGCAAAGUUUUGGAAAAUAUGCCCCAUGGAGGACAUUUUGGUUCGCCUGGAAAUCGAUGCUCGGCCUGUGUCUCGGCGCCUGGUGAGCCUCAUCUUCAAUUCUUUUCUGCCUGUGAACCAGCCAGAGGAGGUGUGGUGCGAGCGCUGUGUCACACUGAUCCAGAUGAAUCGCGCGGCGGCCAGGAAGUUCUAUCAGUACGCCCAUGAACACACCGCCAGCACCAACAUAGCCAAGCUCAUCCACGUCAUCCGCCACUGCUUGAAUGCCUGUAUCCAGAGGACCCUGCGAGAGUGCCCGGAGGCCCAUAAGGAGUGCGAGAAGGAGAAUGCCAGUGUUCUAGACAAAACCUUGUCAGUGAAUGACACUGCGUCCAUGGCGGGCUUACUAGAAGUCAUUGUGAUCCUUUGGAAGAGUAUCCACCGAAGUCUGGAAAACAAUAAAGAGGCCAAAGGUUAUACCAUUAACAAGUUUGCAUCUGUGCUUCCAGAGUACCUGAAGGUGUUCAAGGAUGAGCGCUGCAAGAUUCCUUUGUUCAUGCUGAUGUCCUUCUUGCCAGCCUCUGCUGUCCCUGUGUUCAGCUGUGGUGUGAUUUCUGUUCUGAGGAGUCAGGAGGAGAGUGCCACAGGCAGGAGCUACUGUACCUUGCUGGAUUGUCUCUGUUCCUGGGGGCAAGUGGGGCAUGUCCUGGAGCUCAUUGUCGACUGGCUGCCUACAAGGCCACCUCAGGCCAAGAGUAAUUUGGCCUCUAAACGUAAAGUGCCAAUCAGUGACACGUGCCCGGUGAAACCCGAGUUAGCGUUGUUGUACAUGGAGUAUUUGCUGACCCAUCCAAAGAAUCGAGAGUGUCUGCUCGCUGCACCCCAGAAGAAACUGAACCAGCUUUUAAAAGCCCUUGAGGGAUCCAAGGCAGAUCUGGAAUCACUUCUUGAGUCUCCAAGUGGGAAUCCCCUCAACUUCAACAAAGCAGCUGCCCUGCACGCCUUUGGUCUGUACUGCCGGCUGAGUGUCCACCUUCAGUACACGUUCUGCCCAGGAGAGAAGAUUCAUCUGUCCAUCUUGAGCGAAACCGGGUCUUGGUUGGAAAACAAAGUUUUACCUCUUCUUCAAGACCAAGAAGAGGAGUACCUGAAGCUUCGGAGGGACGUCUAUCAGCAGGUCAUCCAGACUUACCUGGCUGUGGGUAAAGACGUUGUCAUGGUGGGCCUUGGAGACCCUGAGUUUCAGAUCCAGCUUUUACAGCGGAGUCUCGGAAUAAUGAAAGCAGUGAAGGGAUUUUUUUACAUUUCACUACUUCUUGGCAUUCUGAAGGAGAUAGCUGGAAACUCCAUGAUUCAGAAAACAGAUUCAGACGAAGAAGUUGCAGUGCUCUUUGACUCAGUCCAGGAAGUAUUCCAGAAGAUGUUGGAAUGUGUUGCCUGGACCUUCAGGAAGCAGCCAGAAGAAAGCCUACCGCUCUUUCAUUCUGUCCAGACCCCACUCCAUGAAUUUGUUAGCACCAUCCAGUUGUGGUACAAGGACACCACAGUCCACCACGGCAUCCUUUCUACUCUGAUUGCUGCACCCGUGGUUGAGAUAAGUCACCAGCUUCGGAAGGUGUCUAAUACAGAAGAGCUGACCACACCACAACGUCUUGCUGACCUUCCUCCAUUUUCAAGGUGUUUACUGGGGAUAAUAAUGAAGUCUUCGGAUGUGGUCAGGUCAUUUUUGGAUGAACUAAAGGCGUGUGUAACCUCCAGUGAUAUUGAAGGCAUUGUGUGCCUCACAGCUGUUGUGCAUAUUGUUAUGGUUAUUAACAAAGGUAAACACAGAAGUGCAAGGCUGAAGGAAGUUGCAGAGACUGUGAACAGGAAGCUAAAAACAUUCAUGGAGAUCACUUUGGAAGAGGAUAGCCUCGAAAGGUUCCUGUAUGAAUCAUCAAUGAGAACUUUGGGAGAAUUUCUGAAUUCAUGACAAAACCACCAUCUCUGGCUGUAGAUCAAGACAUGAGCUCCCAGCUGUCUCUACCAUGACUUUGCUGUGACAUCUCGGACUCUGCAACUGAACAGUACCAGUAGAAUGAAUAUGCGUCAAAAGGUAUUCAUGAGAUGAGCCUGCAUGAUAUGGUGUAAUCUAAUCAGGCUGUCUUCACACUGGAAACCUGCAUUGGUGACCAAGAGAGUCUCUCCAGGGAGAGAAUGUACAUGCAUCGUCCAUAAGCCAUCCCCACAAUACAUCCUGAGGAUCUGGAUAUCCCUUGUGUCCCAUCUGUGGAAGGUUUGGUUCCCCAGUAGAACCACCAUGAGGAAUAACAGGUAGGACCUAAUAGAGGGGAUGGGGUUGGGGACAUGCCCUUGAUGGUGGCUGUGGGACCUAGCUCCUUCCUCCUGUUUUUGCUCCCAGGCUUGGGAAGAGCUUAGUGGUUUGCUCUGCCAUAAAACCCAACAUGAUGUGCUGCCUUGCCCUAAGCCCAAAUCAGCCUAUCUGUCCAACCAUGGGCCUCCAAACCUGGGACCCCAAACAAACCUCUCCUUAUAAGUUGAUUAUCUCAGGUAUUCGUCAUAGUGACAGAAAGCAACACAGAGAAGAUGGAACUUCCUCCUGAAAUCCUCAAGCUCCCUCCUCCCACCUGUCCGUGAUCAGACCGGUGGCCUGGUUUUUGUCACUGUAAACCAGUUCAGAUUUUCUAAACUCCUACUGAAUGGACCACACCCUCUUGGGGUCAGCACCAUCAUCACCAGAGCACAUCAGUGGUUGACAACUUCCUUUCAGGACAUGCCCCAAGCCACUGUCUGUUGUCAGCCGGAGACCUGUACCCGGUGCCAUGUCCUUAAGUGGUGAAGAUUCAUGUGGACUAGGCAAGACAGACUAGAUGGACAUGCUACACUUGUGGGAUUCUCGGGCACCUAGUCCCGCCUCGGCUUUAUUUUCAAUGUUCUGACUUCAAAGGUAAACCUGAUUUCACGUUUGAUCGAUGGUGCUGGCAGUCAUACUUGUCACCUUAUUUUAUUGCUCCCCCCUUCAUCAAUAUUAGGUUAAUCCACAUGGACCCCCUUUAGAUUGGAAUCGGCACACAGUAGAAGCUGCACAGGGAUCUAUCUAAUAUGUGUGAUGCUGACAGAGACUGCCAGCUGUCUUUGACAUUGUGAAAACUAAUCUUGAUUGUCAAUCUAGGAUUGUCUUGGAGACAAGUCUCUGGGCCUGCCUAUGAGAAAUUUCCUAGAUUGGGGUAACAGAGGUAGGAAGGCUCACUCUGUAUGUGGACUGUAUCAAAAGGAGAAAGUGAGCAAACACUUAGCAUUUAUUGUUCUCUGCUUUCUGGCUGUAGAUACAAUGUAUCCGGCUAUGGAUACAAUGUAUCUAGAUAUAGAUACAAUGUACCUGGCUAUAGAUACAAUGUGCCUGACUAUAGAUACAAUGUACCUGACUAUAGAUGCAAUGUGCCUGACUAUAGAUACAAUGUACCUGACUAUGGAUACAAUGUACCUGACUAUAGAUACAAUGUGCCUGACUAUGGAUACAAUGUACCUGACUAUGGAUACAAUGUACCUGACUAUAGAGACGAUGUGCCUGACUAUAGAUACAAUGUGCCUGACUAUAGAUACAAUGUACCUGACUAUAGAUGCAAUGUGCCUGACUCUAUCAUGCUCUUGCUGCUACAUCUUCCCCACCAUCUUGGGUGUAGUUGGACUUUCCUCUGGUCUGUCAGUUCACAAAUAAAAACACAGAGACUUUUUUUUUAAUUAAUUAUGAAAGCUCGGUCUUAGCUUAGGCUGGUCCCACUAGUACUUAUAACUUAAAUUGAUCUAUUUAUAUUAAUCUAUGUUCUUCCCCGUGGUGUUACCUCAUCUCCGUACUCCCCACCCUGCCUUCUCCAAGUCUGGCUGGCGACUCUGCCUUUCUUCUUCCCAGAGUUCUCUCUCUGCUCAGAAGUCCCGCCUAUACCUCCUGCCUAGUUAUUGGCUGUUUGGCUUCUUAUGACACCAAUCACAGCCAUACGUUUCUCAAACAGUGUAUACAUAUCCCACAACCCUUGGAUGACCCCCUGGAACUGUCAGCCCAAAUAAACCUUUCCUUACAUUG